ACAACGUCGACCUGUCAGUCUUACUUGUGAACCUGACGCACUUCUUUGAUCUCAGACCAUUCAGGGCUCAGGUCUGGUGAUGUAGGGAGCUUAUUUCUCAGACGGGGUGAGCUGAGGUCCAGCGAUUCAGCAGCCUAACACACACACACACACACACACACACACACACACACACACACACUGUGCGUGGUGCUCCAGAAGGAGGCAGGAAUGCACACAGUUAAACCUCUGGUGGGGAGUUGUCCUACCUCUCUCACUGAUAAGCUCCAGGUACUUAAUGAGGGAGCUGUGAUGUGGAAUUUAUAUUUAUUUAUAGUUAGUUAUCACACCUUAUCUAAUACGACAUUUCAAAAAAUCAUGGUGAAAUUAAAACAUAGCUCUUUUUCUUCACUUGGUUUAUCAAUCAGCUGUUUAUAUGUGUUGUUUUCUAACUAAAUGUGGCUGCCAAAUCAAUGUAAACAGACUUCAAGACUAUAUUAGCACUUUGACUAUCUGUGACACUAAAGUCUUUCCUAAUACUUUGCUCUUUAACUCACUUAUUUCCCCAGAGAAAUGUAAGAGUCUGGGUAUCUAGGGACUAGAAGCUUGUGUCUUGGUCCUGUCUGUGGAGGUGUUUGGGGACUAGAGGCUUGUGUCUUGGUCCUGUCUGUGGAGGUGUUUUGGGACUAGAGGCCUGUGUCUUGGUCCUGUCUGUGGAGGUGUUUUGGGACUAGAGGCCUGUGUCUUGGUCCUGUCUGUGGAGGUGUUUGGGCUCUGGGUGUUUGGGUGUUUGGGGACUAGAGGCCUGUGUCUUGGUCUUGUCUGUGGAGGUGUUUGGGGACUAGAGGCUUGUGUCUUGGUCCUGUCUGUGGAGGUGUUUGGGUUGCUGGUGCUUUGGGAGGGGUUUACUGUGUGCAAUCCCUGAAGAAGGGUGCGGUUAGUGUUAAGUAAGAGAUGUGAUCAUACUCCUGGGCACUGGGCCAGGGAUGGAUGAAAUUCGCCUGUCCUCUCUGAGGCCAGUGAUGGACGGACACACACACACACACACACACACACACUUCGGUGGGCUCUUCCAAGCCUGUUAUCCUGCAGGAAAUUCCUCCUUUACUCCCGUCCUUGGGGGAGUUGUUGCAUAUUUGUAGAAGGAGGGAGAGAGACAGAAAGAAAGAGACAGAGGGAGAGAAUGAGAGAAUGAGGGAGGGAAAGGAUGGAAGCGGAGAAAGAGAGAGAUAGGUAGAAGGAAGAUAUAGAUAGAUAGGGAGAGAGAGAAGGAAGCAAGGAGGGAGGGGAAAGAGAGAGAGAGAGGGAGAAGGGAGAGAGAGAAGGGAGAGCAAGAGAAGGAGGGAGAGGGGUAAUUUGCUAGCGGAAGAGUACGUAAGUGUACACACACCAGAGAGGGGGAUACGCAAGAGGGGUUUUCAGAUGGCAAUUGUGUAAUAGCAACUUAGAAAAAAAAAAACAACAGGAAAAAUAGCAGGACAGAGAUGUUGAGAGGGAG
ensembl:lncRNA